rnacentral:rRNA from 1 species
UUGGGAUGACCUGUGGAUAGGGGUGAAAGGCCAAUCAAACUGAGAGAUAGCUCGUUCUCCCCGAAAUGUUUUUAGGAACAGCCUCGGAUUUAGAAGUAUGUUAGAGGUAGAGCUACUGAUUGGGCUAGGGGGCUUCACCGCCUACCAAACCCUGACAAACUCCGAAUGCUAACAGAUAUCUGCGGGAGUGAGGCUGCGGGUGCUAAGAUCCGUGGCCGAGAGGGAAAUAACCCAGAAUAGCAGCUAAGGUCCCUAAUAAGUAGUUAAGUUGAUCAAACGAGGUGAGACUUCUAUAACAGCCAGGAUGUUUGCUUGGAAGCAGCAAUUCAUUUAAAGAGUGCGUAACAG